AACCCAAAGAAUUUGGCGGUAUUUUAGUCUUUUCAGAGGAGCCUGCCCUUUAAUCGAUAUUCCACGAUUUUAUUUACUUGUAAUUGUUUACAGUUUUUAUACCUCCGUCAUAAGAAUAUUUUUUUAGAAUUAAUUUUCUUUUUUGUUAAAUGCAAAAAUGUCAGGUCAAGGUGAAGCUAAUAUACAAGAAGAGGUGGGCUACAAUAUAGUUAUUUAUACGGAUUUAUAUAUUUAUAUAUUUAAUAAAGGUGGAUUUGGAAGUAAAGUUAGUUAAAUUUCUAAUUUGAUUUUAGCUCUAAAAUAUGCACACAUCGCCCG
rnacentral:rRNA from 1 species